rfam:Clostridium asparagiforme DSM 15981 genomic scaffold Scfld6, whole genome shotgun sequence.
UUAUGUCUUCAGGGCAGGGUGAAAUUCCCGAUUGGCGGUACAGUCCGCGAGCGCGCGCGCGUUGACCCGGUGAAACUCCGGGACCAACAGUAUAGUCUGGAUGAAAGAAGAUGUGU